ensembl:scaRNA
CGGUCAAUGAUGACUAGUUCACUGCGCAAUCCGAGUUCCAGAGUGGACACUAAUGAUGGAAUGAGUGCUGACAGAUGUCUGAGACCA